rnacentral:lncRNA from 1 species
AUCUCGGUCAGCUGAGGUCUGGGCGCUUGCUUUUAUUGCUAGAGAGCUCAUGAAGAAUGGAAGGCAGGUUUUAUACGGUGCAAUGGAGUCUCGAGGAGUAUUCAUGGCAGCACAAAGCAACAGCCUCUGUAUGUCUUAUUGGACAUGACAGCUUGCUUUGGGGGGAAACUGGACAGCUGUGGCAUUGAGUUGUUGUCAGCAUCAUGGCCUGAAAUGUUUAUGGCAUCAAAAAUGGAUGUCCCCACCCUUGAUACAGAUGCUUAGCAGCCCUGGCGAGGGAAAGCAGCCCCACGCAGCUGGGUGGGAAUACCAAAGGACAAUGAAAACACAAGGGUAUCCAAAUGUUCAUAGCCGUCCAAGGGGUUGUGAGCAUAAUUUCCUGAGUACAAGCCUGAUAAAUCUACGGUACAUGAAAACCAGACUCAUCUGCAAUUAUAGAGCAGGUAUUUCCAUUUUUUGUUUUUGAAUUCUUACUCGCUAUAGAUGUAUGCUCUAAAGGCAAUU